rnacentral:rRNA from 1 species
UACAGAGGUCCCAAGCGUUGUUCGGAUUUACUGGGCGUAAAGGGUGCGUAGGUGGCGAGGUAAGUUCGAUGUGAAAUCUCCGAGCUCAACUCGGAAAUGGCAUUGAAUACUAUCCCGCUUGAGGGUCGGAGGGGAGACUGGAAUUCUCGGUGUAGCAGUGAAAUGCGUAGAUAUCGAGAGGAACACCAGUGGCGAAGGCGAGUCUCUGGACAGUUCCUGACACUGAGACACGAAGGCCAGGGGAGCAAACGGG